rnacentral:misc_RNA from 1 species
GAUGAAGAACGUAGCGAAAUGCGAUAAGUAAUGUGAAUUGCAGAAUUCAGUGAAUCAUCGAAUCUUUGAACGCACAUUGCGCCCGCCAGUAUUUUGGCGGGCAUGCCUGUUCGAGCGUCAUUACAACCCUCAGGCCCCCGGGCCUGGCGUUGGGGAUCGGCGGAGCCCCCCGUGGGCACACGCCGUCCCCCAAAUGCAGUGGCGGUCCCGCCGCAGCUUCCAUCGCGUAGUAGCUAACACCUCGCGACUGGAGAGCGGCGCGGCCACGCCGUAAAACACCCAACUCUUCUGAAGUUGACCUCGAAUCAGGUAGGAAUACCCGCUGAACUUAAGCAUAUCAAUAAGCGGAGGA